rnacentral:misc_RNA from 1 species
CGGAGGGAUCAUUACCGAGUUAUACAACUCAUCAACCCUGUGAACAUACCUAAAACGUUGCUUCGGCGGGAACAGACGGCCCCGUAACACGGGCCGCCCCCGCCAGAGGACCCCCUAACUCUGUUUCUAUUAUGUUUCUUCUGAGUAAAACAAGCAAAUAAAUUAAAACUUUCAACAACGGAUCUCUUGGCUCUGGCAUCGAUGAAGAACGCAGCGAAAUGCGAUAAGUAAUGUGAAUUGCAGAAUUCAGUGAAUCAUCGAAUCUUUGAACGCACAUUGCGCCCGCCAGUAUUCUGGCGGGCAUGCCUGUUCGAGCGUCAUUACAACCCUCAGGCCCCCGGGCCUGGCGUUGGGGAUCGGCGAGGCGCCCCCUGCGGGCACACGCCGUCCCCCAAAUACAGUGGCGGUCCCGCCGCAGCUUCCAUUGCGUAGUAGCUAACACCUCGCAACUGGAGAGCGGCGCGGCCACGCCGUAAAACACCCAACUUCUGAAUGUUGACCUCGAAUCAGGUAGGAAUACCCGCUGAACUUA